rnacentral:rRNA from 1 species
AUCCCAGGGCUACACACGUGUUACAAUGGUCGGUACAGAGGGCAGCUACCAGGCAACUGGAUGCGAAUCUCAAAAACCGGUCUCAGUUCGGAUUGGAGUCCUGCAACCCGACUCCAUGAAGCUGGAUUCGCUUAGUAAUCGCGCAUCAGCCAUGGCGCGGUGAAUACGUUCCCGGGCCUU